CGUGCUGGAGCUUACCACGGUGGGCCGGGAUGCCAUAGUUGACAAUGUUGUUGUCUUGGGUGUAGCCCUUCCCGUCCGGGCAGAGACUGUGGAACUCGGCUGAGGGUGGAGAGAGCGGCGGUGGGGAAGAAGGGAGGCGGGACUGAGCGCGUGCGUGCUCCUGUCGGAGCUCUCCGCCUCAUUUCCCACCUAUCCAGGGAGGGGCCAUUUCCCGCGUCCGUUUCCAAAUGGAGAAACCGAGACUCUGGGAAGGGCGAAGGCCUGCCCGGCUCCUGACCUGAGCUGUACACGGGGCAGGGAUAGAUCUCGCAGUGGUCUCCCCAGCCAGCCCCCAGCGAGCAGCAGCACUCCUGCUGGGUGACAUUGGUGGCCAGUACACUGUCGCAGAACACGGUGUCAUCGAAGUUAAGGGAACCUAUUUGUGCUUCAGGGGACCAUAUAUAUGUUCCAAGUGCCAAUUCAACUGUCACCUCUCCCUUGCAAUCAAUCACUCGUCCAGACCUCUUUUGGCGUCCAGCACCCGGAACAGGGAUCAAAGAGGUGGAGAAUUUUGGAGCUGACCCCACUCAGCCUGAGGCUGCCAAGGCUCCCCACCCAACGUCCAAUCUGGGGGUCAGGUCUACACCCCAUGCCCAGUCUUGGAUGGGGAUGUGGACUGGACUCGGAAGUGCCUGACUUUUACAGCCCAUCAUCUCCUGACCAUUCUGAGGCAACUUCUCAUCACGUCCACCACCAUCUGUGUCUUGAGUCACCAGCAGACCUCCAGCUAUUCACACUCAGCAUCAGGGAACUUUCUAAAGCAAAUGGUCAUGAUCUCAUGGUCAUAGGAUGGACUCCACACCGAGUGUGCAGCCCGCUGAAGAUAACUCUUUCUGUCUCCCUCUGCCCCUUGCCCUCUUUCUAAAAAGAAGAAGAAGAAGAAGAAGAAGAAGAAGAAGAAGAAAGGAAGAGGAAAGAAAAAGAAACAGUGCAGAGGAACUAACGCCCUCCUCAUUCUUUUAUGUCUUUUUUUUUCUUUAAAUUUAAGAAGCCUGCUUUGCAAAAGCAGCUUCAAGCCUUGCCUGCUAAGACCCUUCCUACACUGAAA